rnacentral:rRNA from 1 species
CAACUUUUAACAACGGAUCUCUUGGCUCUCGCAACGAUGAAGAACGCAGCGAAGUGCGAUAAGUAAUGUGAAUUGCAGGAUUCCAUGAAUCAUUAAAGUUUUGAACGCAUAUU